rnacentral:rRNA from 1 species
CCCUUAGAUGUUCUGGGCGGCCCGCGCGCUACAAUGGCGUGUGCAGCGAGUGCCGAAGUAGAGUUUUCCGAGGUAUUCUUGCAAUGCUCGUUUUGAUGGGGAUAGACCCUUGCAACUGUUGGUUUUGAACGAGGAAUUCCUUGUAAGCAUGGUUUAUCAUCCGACGCUGAAUGCGUCCCUGCCCUUUGUACACACCGCCCGUCGCUCCUACCGAUGAGUCGUCCGGUGAAGUUCGUAGACCUCGUGAUCGCGGAUCACUGGGGGAAGCAAAAUGAACCUCGCGGUUUAGAGGAAGGAGAAGUCGUAACA